rnacentral:rRNA from 1 species
GAUGAACGCUGGCGGCGUGCCUAAUACAUGCAAGUCGAGCGAACAGACGAGGAGCUUGCUCCUCUGACGUUAGCGGCGGACGGGUGAGUCACACGUGGAUCACCUACCUAUAAGACUGGGAUCACUUCGGGACACCGGCUCUAAUACCGUAUAAUCUCUUGAACCGCAUGGUUCAAUAGUGAAAGUCGGUUUUGCUGUCACUUAUCGAUGCAUCCGCGCCGCAUUAGCUAGUUGGUAAGGUAACGGCUUUUCAAGGCGACGAUGCGUAGCCGAACUGAGAGAGGGAUCGGCCACACUGGAGCGUAGACGCGGUCAAGACGACUGCGAGAGGGAGCAGAAGGGAAUCGGACGCAAUGGGCGGAAGCAUGACGGAGCAGGGCCGAGUGAGAGAUGAAAAUCUUGGGAGCGUGAAACUCGGUUAUGGGGGAAAAACAAAUGUGGAAGGAGAUAUGCACGGAGUGACGGUACCUGGUCAGAAAGCAACGGCUAACUACGUG